rnacentral:tRNA from 2 species
GGGGCGUUAGCUCAGUGGAUAGAGCAUCGGUCUUCGGAACCGAGGGUCAGGAGUUCGAAUCUCUUACGCCUCGCCA